CGUUGAAAUACCACUCCCUGUACGAUCACUGAAGUUAAGCAAAGUCGAGCCUGGUCAGUACCUGCAUGGUUAACCGCUUGGGAAUACCAGGUACUGUCA